rnacentral:rRNA from 1 species
AUUGAACGCUGGCGGAAUGCUUUACACAUGCAAGUCGAACGGCAGCACGGACCUCGGUCUGGUGGCGAGUGGCGAACGGGUGAGUAAUGUAUCGGAACGUGCCCAGUCGUGGGGGAUAACGUAGUGAAAAUUACGCUAAUACCGCAUACGAUCUAUGGAUGAAGGCGGGGGAUCGCAAGACCUCGCGCGAUCGGAGCGGCCGAUAUCAGAUUAGGUAGUUGGUGGGGUAAAGGCCCACCAAGCCAACGAUCUGUAGCUGGUCUGAGAGGACGACCAGCCACACUGGAACUGAGACACGGUCCAGACUCCUACGGGAGGCAGCAGUGGGAAAUUUUGGACAAUGGGCGAAAGCCUGAUCCAGCCAUUCCGCGUGCAGGAUGAAGGCCCUCGGGUUGUAAACUGCUUUUGUACAGAACGAAAAGGUUUCUACUAAUACUAGGAGCUCAUGACGGUACUGUAAGAAUAAGCACCGGCUAACUACGUGCCAGCCGCCGCCGUAA